rnacentral:rRNA from 1 species
CCUACGGGCGGCUGCAGUGAGGAAUAUUGCACAAUGGACGCAAGUCUGAUGCAGCAACGCCGCGUGGAGGAUGAAGGUCUUUGGAUUGUAAACUCCUUUUCUCAGGGAAGAGAAUGGACGGUACCUGAGGAAUAAGUCACGGCUAACUACGUGCCAGCAGCCGCGGUAAUACGUAGGUGGCGAGCGUUAUCCGGAAUUACUGGGCGUAAAGCGCACGCAGGCGGUUUCUUAAGUUUGACGUGAAAGCUCCCGGCUUAACUGGGAGAGGUCGUUGAAGACUGAGAGACUUGAGGCAAUGAGAGGGGUGUAGAAUUCCCGGUGUAGUGGUGGAAUGCGUAGAUAUCGGGAGGAAUACCAGUGGCGAAAGCGGCACCCUAGCGUUGUUCUGACGCUCAUGUGCGAAAGCGUGGGGAGCGAACGGGAUUAGAUACCCCGGUAGUC